AAGCAUUUGCUAACAUAGAGUCUUUGGAGUUGUUUGGGUUCAGAGUUGCCGUAGUUUGUGGUUAUUGUAAUUUGUGGGAUUAUAUAAUAGUUUUGUGGAGUUAGAAUAGUUUGACUUUGGGGUGUAGGCUAUUUUAGUCUGACUAUAUAGUUUGUGUUUGUGGUGAAGAUUUAGUCAUUGGUGGUUGGUUCAUUGUAGUGUAACUUGCCUGUUCAAGGCUCUUUGGCAUUGGCUUUCUUGAUGGAGCAAUAAAGGUGUUGUAGAAUUGCUCUUCAUCACAAUUCUCAGAGGAUAUGAUGUAUGUAUAUCUAAAAGGUAGGUGUAGGAAAUAUUUUUCAUGUAACAACCAACAGGAUGCCAUAUUUAUUAUUUAUUCACAAAGUUCAUUGUUGUUUCUAGUUUGUUGCCAUAUUUUUCAGUCAGGUUAUGGCAAGGAGGAAAUACCGCUGGCCCUGGGAGAUAUCACUAAACAAAUGACUGCAAUAGAAGAAAUGGUUGCAAGUGAGUACAAUUAGCCAGACCCUUAUCUUUGUGACAAGAUCUUGAAGAUGGUCAUUUGUGAAGCGUUCUAGUUUGCUAUUAGUUGCAAUUUUAGUUAUUGCUCUCUCAAUAUAUUCUUUUUCUUUCUUUCUUUCUUUUUUUCCAAAGGAUGAUCAAUGUAUAAUAAUUAAGCUUCAUAACUUCUUUG